rnacentral:rRNA from 1 species
UACGUAGGGGGCUAGCGUUGUCCGGAAUCAUUGGGCGUAAAGAGCGUGUAGGCGGUCCGGUAAGUCCGCUGUGAAAGUCGGGGCUCAACCCUCGAAUGCCGGUGGAUACUGUCGGGCUAGAGUGCGGAAGAGGCGAGUGGAAUUCCUGGUGUAGCGGUGAAAUGCGUAGAUAUUGGGAGGAACACCAGUGGCGAAGGCGGCUCACUGGACCGUACUGACGCUGAGGCGCGAAAGCGUGGGGAGCAAACAGG